rnacentral:rRNA from 1 species
CCUACGGGUCGCUGCCGUGGGGAAUAUUGGACAAUGGGCGAAAGCCUGAUCCAGCCAUGCCGCGUGUGUGAAGAAGGCCUUCGGGUUGUAAAGCACUUUCAGUGGGGAAGAAAGCCUUGGGGCUAAUACCCUCGAGGAAGGACAUCACCCACAGAAGAAGCACCGGCUAACUCCGUGCCAGCAGCCGCGGUAAUACGGAGGGGGCGAGCGUUAAUCGGAAUUACUGGGCGUAAAGCGCGCGUAGGCGGUCUGAUAAGCCGGUUGUGAAAGCCCCGGGCUCAACCUGGGAACGGCAUCCGGAACUGUCAGGCUAGAGUGCAGGAGAGGUAGGUAGAAUUCCCGGUGUAGCGGUGAAAUGCGUAGAGAUCGGGAGGAAUACCAGUGGCGAAGGCGGCCUUCUGGACUGUCACUGACGCUGAGGUGCGAAAGCGUGGGUAGCAAACAGGAUUAGAUACCCUAGUAGUC